GAUGCCGAUCGAGGUCCUUGCCGCGGGAGUUUGGGGUGGCCGUGAGGGUCUGUGGCUGAGCAGCCGCUUGCAUGCGAGAGACGCUUUGCAUUCCUGUUACUAUUAUUAUUUAAUGUGCAUUAAUCACUGCAGCUCCAGCGCUUGCAGCCUGGCCAUUGCCCAACCUGGCGGUGCCUCCUGGUACCCCCUCUGCUGCAGAUUAAAGAUCUCGUCCCGCCAAGCUGGGAUAAACACGAGGUUUUGUGCCACCGGUUCCCAUCAUCAUGAGGUAUCUGCAUGGGAUAGACCCGAGGGCAAACCGUCCUGGCACUCCGUCAGCUCUCCCUACCCGCGCUUCUGGGAAGCGCAGGGACAGCCACACGCGUGACCUGUUCUUCGGGCCUCUCCUCAAUCACAUCGCACCCUCGGGUGCAUUGUCAGCUCCUCCAAAAUUGGUUCUUUUUUUCAUGUUAGUGCCUCAUCUUUUUUUUUUCUUCCUUUUCCACCUCUUUGACAUGUCCAAACCGUUUCAUCCCAUUCUUAGCACUGACAUAAAAAUGCAGCUGAGAAAACACUGAAGCUGUUUCAACAACUGCCGCGCUAAAAAGUAAAGUAAACCAGAAAGUAGUUAUUACCCAGAGAGCUUCCUCUUUAAAUCAGAUGGGGGGGAAGAAGUGAGAGUACUUGGUAAUUAGAUUCUCUCCCUCAUCCUAAUUGCAUUACCAAUAAAUCAGCUCUGAAGAUCUGUUUCUUUUUAAGUUUUCUUGAAUUUAGCCUUUGUCUGGGAUUCUUGGAACAACAGAGCCGCAGUAAAUAAGAUUAACCUAUAGUUAAUUACUGGGGUAUUUUGGCUGUGCCCUGUGGUUGACCAUCAGCCUCUCGGAAACCUGUCCGCUGCCAAACCUGGGGAGAGGGGCAGCGAGAGCUGAGCGGGGCGAGCUGGUCCCUCAUUACCGACGUUGUUUAAGUGCAGGAGGCUUUACAUUAAGGGAUAAUUUGGCACGCACAAGAGUCCGAUGGAAAAAAUUUAACUUUUCCUCAGCACGUCUCUUUUUGUUCUGUGCUUUUCGCCCCUCUCUUCCCAGGGUUGCUAAAAGGCCAGGGAAUUUUAGCUUAGCAAAUGCCUCCUAUAAAUUCCUUUCUCCAAACACUGUAGAUUAAUAGUUUCAGAGUCCCGGACCCUGAAUCCCUUUAAGCUUCGACUAAACCAUAUGUACAUUGUAUAUUUUCUUUCUUAGAAGAAGAGAGGAUGUUUAGUUAAUAUGUAAUUACGUGCUGGGCCUGUGGGCUGCGGAUGGGCAUGGGGAGAAACCUGUGAGCCGAGGGAGAGGAGAGGACGAAGAAAGGCCCUCCCAAAACUGCCCCGGGUGUCCCCUUUCCCUUAAUUGAAGUCAGGGCAGAUCCUGGUGACCUUUCUCUGCAAUCUUGAACUGUUGAAACCUGGUGGCUGCAGAACUGAUGGGGCGGUGAUGUGCAGUACUGGUGAGUUCCUAGCAGGUCACAGCUCCCAGUUCACUGGCGGUUCACGUAUGGCGUUCACUCUGAUGCACUGGUUCACAUGCACUGGGUCACAUCCCGAUGACAUGCGGCCAAAGGCUUUAUCAGAAAAAUCAGUGCUGAUGAUUUAAAAAAACACAUCCUUGGUGAACAUGAUGUAAAUUCUGGGUUGAAGGAGUUUGCUCUCCCCACCACUCGACUCAUGUCUAUGCUUUGCAAAGCUUUAUUGAUAUCACACAUGAGUUUCUGCUGUGUAGGAAGACAACAACCAUUGUGUUGACAGUACAGCCACCCUUAGCAGGAAAAAGAGAGUUCAUGGUCCCCCAAAACAAUCACCCUUGGAUGGUUUUAAUUGGGAAGCUUGGGUAGGAGGGACAGUGGGGUGUGCUAUCUUGCUAUCUCCAUUAGGAGAGCAUCAGUGAGACUAGAGAUGCUCCAUGAUAGGAGAUGAGCCAAGGGUGACAUCAGCAAUUACUGUGCCUUCACUUAUGGACCACUGUCCCAUAGGGUCUGACCUAGGUGGGCAGAGCCACCUUGCACGUCACAUGCUCCUCCAGCAGCUCCAGGCACAACCAGGGGAUGGACCAGUUCCAGGAGCCAUCCCGAGAGCCCAGGCAGGAGCAGCAAGAGAUGGGGACAGAGAUAGAGAGGAUGGAGGAGACAAGGAUACAUGCCUUAGGAUUCAGAAACUUGGCCCACUGACCCUCCUAUGCUGCUCAGAAAGCAUUCCAGGUGGCUCUGCUUGGCCAGUGAUGGGAAUGGGCUUCAGCUGUGGCCAUGCUGCCCUCUCUGCUAAUCACCCACAGGUGGGAACAGCCCAGCCCACUUCUCCUCCAGCUCCUCCUCAUUCCAGAGGUCUACAGCAAGCUCAGGAGCAGAUGGCUGGAGCUGAGCUCACAAGGAGAAGCAGCAGGUUGUGCAUUUUUGGGUCUGCCUCGACGCUCCGUUGAUGCCGUAGGAGGUCCCCUGCACUGGAUGGGCUGUGUGUUGGUGUCCUUGGAUGCCAACCUGCACCCGGGGUCUGCUCUGGCCACUGCAGCUUUGUGCUUACACCUGGACUGGCUUUUGUUCUUUGGCUGGACCUGGGAGACAAUGCCUGUGAUCUUCUUUUGUGUUUGGCUGGCUCAGAAAAAAACAUCUCUGGGCUCAUAAAGCCUCUGGGACUGUGCAAGGUCUGUGCUCAGAAGAUGCCCAGCAUGCCUUGGAUAUGGGGGAGCAAAGCUGCUUUGCUUCAGGAGAAAACAGCAGACAUCCUUACCCAGGUUGUUGAAGAUGGAGGCUUUUAUAAGGUGCUUCCCACAGAACUUCACCCAUGUGCCAUGCUGAGCCUUAGGUGGCACCUCAUCUUGACCUGCAUGUCCACACAACUGUCUCGUGUUGUUUCCAAUGGGGAGAAUGGGACAUUCAGCUGGGACCGGCUCUCCAUGGAGCAGGUACCGAAGGGCACGAGCUCGAGGGUGGUGAAGUCAGUUACUUGGCCGGUCGUAAAGAUGCAAUUAUCGCCCCUUCUUUGACCGAAGACUGUAAAAGGAGACUCAAUGUGUGAACUCUGCCAUGUGCCCUCAAUGCCAACAGAGGGAUCAGAAACAAAGGCAAAAGCUGAGCAGAGAGACGCGGAGUUGCAAAGAGGCUUCUGAUUCCAGCCUGGUAACCUUAUUGGUUUUCCGCAUGGUCAGAAGACACCAAUGACCUCAAUGUAGUUCGGCCUCAAAUGGAUCUUCUCACAGACCCAGCCCAGUGAGUCGAGCCCAAGUGAGCAGACAGGAGUUUAACCUGCACGGCGAUGAACCUGCGACAAAUCACCUCUUGUGAGCUGUGCCCAGUUCUCUCUGACAUGUUCAUGGAGAGGAAUUAGCGCAGUUUACCCUCUUGGAGGUUGAAGUCAUCGUACAAACCAACAUGUGGCCUCUGCCUGCCGAACUCCCCCUCCUGAAACGAUUAAAUAGCUGCUGGUGACGUGGCAUGGCGACCAUUCUGCCAUUGCAAAGGUGACAUUGCGUCACCGUAGCGACAUCAGGAGGGACACACGCGGAGAUGACCUCCCAAAGCAAAGGCUGUGCCAGCUCGUGGUGCUCGUCCAUCCUCCAUAGACCUCUGCUGUGAAUUAAUCUUAAUCUCAUUCCAAAUCCAUUUACGUUCCCGGCCUCCGCAACACGCUGUGCAGUCACAUCGUCCCCUGGUGCUGCCACUUGCCCCUCGUCAUCCCAAGACCGCAGACAACUGCCCGCUCUCCAGCGGAAUGUCAGAGACAUGAGUUCAGCUCUUUAAUAAACUUCAUGUAUGUGAUUCGGCUGCCUCGCUGCACUGCUCCUCUGGCCCAGCGUUCCUGGGAAGAUCACCCCAUUCCCAGGCCUUUCUCCUUCUUCAUGCUGGAACCUGACAGCUUUGAAACCUGCUGCUGGGGUUUCCUAUGGCUCCCUCAUCCCAAAAGGAUGAGGGGUAACCAUUUUGAUCGUCGCCCUUGAGCCAGCUGCCCCUCAGAUGCAAUCUCAUGAUGGCGACCCAGCUGAUGCCGCCAUUUCCCAAAGGUGCUGAGACAUGAAGACUGGGAGCGUGAUUCGCAGAGACAGAUCGCUCCGCGCUGGAGAAAGGGGAAUUUAAGGUUAUGCUGAGAUGGAAGGAGAGACUCGGAGAGGGAAGAUUAACCUUUCGCUGGCCACAAUUCGUUCCCUCUUAUCACGGAGGAUUCGGCAACCCACCCCCCCCCAUCCAGUCUAUCUGUCUGAAUUGCUGAAAGCAUAAUGCUCCCAUAUGAGAGAUAAUCUUCUCAAAGAGAGCUUGCACUCCAGUGUAUUUUGAUGGAAAUAUCUGAGGUUUAAAGACAUGGAAAAAGGAAGAACUUUGAUUUGUGUGCAAAGCCAGUAGUUUGAAGGCCAGCUCGUGGUUCUGGUGAUGGUUCCAGUGAUGGUCCCUUCCGGCACCAUCUUUUUCAGGGAGAUGCACAGGAUGAAUGCAGCUGCCGGAGCUCAGACCUGGAGGCGUCUUGUCCCACCAUUCUGUGUCCUCUGGGCUUGUCCCACCUGUCUGCAUCCUCUGGGCUUGUCCCAAAUCAGUCCAGAGAUGCUGAGGAGCAGGUGGCCCAGGUGGGAAGGAUGCAAGGAUGCUACCCCACUUCAAACAGUUUCCUCUGCAGAUCAAAUGUAUCAGUAGCAACAGACAUCUUUGGAAAUGGAUUGUGAUUAAUCUCGCAGGGAAAUAAUUUGGGCCGGUACCAUCAGGCUUGUGCCGUACAGCUCCUCACAACACCCACGCCAAUCAUCCUCCUUCAAGCUCCUUUUGGGCAGGGACAACUCCGAGCCCUUGAAGAUGGCGAGGCAGAGGAUGCCCCGAGCAGAUCCUGCGCCAAGGCUGGGUGACCUCUCCUCUCUCCGCAGGGUGGUCUCUUCAGGUCACCGUUCAGGUCACUUCUGCGGCAAAUGUUGCCUGCUAUAAAAGACGGGAGGGUCUGCACGCACGAGGUGGCCUGAUGUCGUCUUCUAGGAUGGCGCCCGCAUGGAAACCAAGUGAAACUCUCUGGAGCUUUCCCAAGAGGCGGGUUGCCCGUGGAGAGAUGCCCGCGAUGGCUGCCAAAGCGAUUGGAGGCGGGUUGAUGCAGAGGAGGUGACUGCUGGUGCCCGUGUCUGGUGCAGACGACUCCGCUCUGUGGUGAACAGCCCUAAAGCCAUAGAUUUCAUUUGAUCUUUGCAAAGGCUAACAUCUGUCUGCUGUCAUUUUAGUAAGAUUGAUGACAGGCUGGGCUCGGGGAGGAGGAGGGGGAGCGCGGCAGGAGGAAGGCUGGUCCCCGCAGCCCCCGUGGCUGUGGCCAAGCUUGCCCGGAGUCGCUGGCCCGAACCCUGCGGUCGGUGUCGGGGAGUCGCUCCUGCAUCGCUCCGGCAGUAAUUGCUCCGCGUUGUUACAGCGGAUCGCAGGGACUCGGAGACGUAAAAGCAGCAUUUUGCACCUUAUGUAUCUUAAUAGAUUAUUCGCGUCACAAGCAACACAGAGCAAAAUGUUAUGACAACCAUAAGAAUGCAGUUUGCUGUGGCUUAAUGUGGCUGGGCAGUGCAGGGUGAAGCUAUCAAAAAAUAUCUUUAUUUAUUUUUUAAAGUUUCCGAGAGAAACUAACCAAUGUGGACAUGCAGCUAUUUUUAUACAAAGCCCUGACUUUUGGCAAACUCUUUCCAGGCUACAGCAGAAAAAAUGCUUACUCUUUUUAUUAGUAGUAGUAUCACAGUGCCAAAGUAAAAAUCAUAUGCUUUCCCUCUUGGAAGCUUUCUUGCAAGCUGAUGUCUGAGCUGAUGUAAUAGGGGAAUCUUGUACAAAGGAGUCGUGUCCCAAACGGGGCAGCCAGUUGCCGGCUGCGGCAUGCAAUACGUCUCGGAAAAAAAUAGCUUUCAUACUUGGGCAGGACGAAGUCCAUGUAUCUUUUUCCAUGAAUGAAUGAGUGAAUGAACGACUAUCAACGCUGAAAUUUGAUCUUACGGCAAAAUCCCAGAGAUUUGGGUUUCACCAGGCGCAUGUAUGUAUAGAAGAGGGAUCUUGGCGCUUCUGGAAAAGAAGUGCAGUGUGCUGUGGGAAAAAUACAAAGUGAUAGGGUUAUUGCCCUCGUGGAUUGGGAAGUGAGAAACGUACCUGCAAAUCUUAAUCCCGAUAUUAGAAUGGAAACCAUUGAGGCAAGGGUUGGAAGCAGCUCUAGAUCCUCUGGGAGCUGGAGGGGAGACGGGUGUAUAAGCCGGUAACUUUAACAAGCUGGAAUUCAAAAUAUGCCCAGGCUAAAACCUGGGGCUGGGACGUGUCUGGGCUUGGCGUAAAGCUCAGCUCCAGUCCCUCCUGUUGAGAUUUACAGAGCCACGCACAUUUUAACCACACAGGGUCCCAUCGUGGCAAAACGACAUCACGCGAGGACGGGAUUUCAGCUGCGGGCAGGGAAAAAUGCAGUUUAGAGGAUGAAAACAAGCUGUGGGUUUCUUAUUCUUGCAGAUCAGGGAAGGGCAGAGAGUCCCACCCGAACGGGAGGGCUGGCGUGGGCCCCACACGAACUUUGCGCCUGGGUGAUCGCGGGUGGCUGGACUGAUAAAGAGUGAGCCAGAGAGAUAAAUACCCGUACAGAGGAAAAUAAGAACUGAUAAUGGAUUGGCGUAAGUUGCAGUGUAUUUCCUCCUAGUGAUGAAGGGCUAAGAGUGAGUUAUAGAUCUUUCCUGGUGAUAAGGAUAGAUAUUUCUUUCCAAAUCAUUUAUCUAUAAGAUCCUGAGAUAUUGUUUGGUUCUGCAUUGGUAUUAAUCUGGCUCUUUUGAGUUUGCUUCCCAGUCUUCCACCAGGUGAAAAUGCACUGGUAGGGACCCUAAAGGUUUCAUCUGCAGAUCCUGCGGGUGAGAAAUUAGUUUGUGUUGCAGGGAGUUGAGGAGAGGACGUGUUCACCAUAGCGUCCCAGGUAAAUGUGACACGGCUGUUUAUACAUUACCAGAGUUUAAAUCUUUGGGGGUCUUUGGGCCCUUAAUGUAUGAGAAGCAAUUGCUGUAGGUGUUACAAGAUCUGUUGGCUGUUCUGGGAUAGAGUUAAUAAUAAUAAUAAUAAUAAUAAUAAUAAUAAUAAUAAUAAUAAUAAUAAUAAUAAUAAUAAUGGAGGAUGCCCAUAUGAAGGAAACAACAUCACUUGACAACUUUGACGUAAGAAAAACCUUUUCCCUUUGGCUGGGCGGGUGUGCCCAGCCCUUUCAUCCCUGCAGUCGAGGUGCUAUAACAUUUACGUGUCUCAGAGAUAUGACAUACGUACCGUGUUUGUGUGUGAGGGCGGGCAGGCUGGGCUUGAAAAGAGUAUUUGGGGAAAAAACAGAGUGUUUUCGUCAACUGGGAAAGAUUAGAGUGGCUGAUUUUACAGCUAGAGGAGAGGAAUGUUUCCCUGUGCGAUUAGAAAAGCCGUUGUUAUUAAUAAUCAUAACAAUAAUGUUAUUAUUUUUUACAAUUUACUUGCUAAAGGCCUUUUCUUCAAGCUGCUUCCGCCGAGGGGCGGGGCUGCCGGAACCGCCCAGAACCGGCUGGAACCGGCCGGAACCGGCCGGAACCGGCGAGAGCCGCCCCGGGCUCCCCUCACAGCGCCGGGCUGCGCACGGAGCUGCCCCCGGCUGGAAAAUAUGGUGACAACAUGGUGGAACCGGGAGGCAAAGACACCGAGGUGGAGAGGAGGGCGCCGCACUCUGCGAUGGGAGAGCUGAGAGAAACUAGGCUGUGUCCUCCUGCAAGACUGGAGCUGCAGAGAAGGAAGUUUGAGCCUUCCCAGCAAUCUUAAGCUUUCUUGCCAAAGGGGAACUGGUGGAAAAAGAUUGGAAAGGCACCGGGAUGCCGGUAAGGGGAGCCCCAGUUCUGCUUGUUGCAUGGCCAUUGCAAUGUCCACACAGAGCUGCAGCCACUCGGAUGGUGACAGGGGGACAGAGACCAGCGCCCUCGCAGCAAUCAGCAGCGUGACAAUUGUGACGACACCGUGCGUUCCUGAACUGGUCCUGGACAGGCUGCAGCGCUGCAUGUGCAGGAGAGCGGGGGCACAUUUUCCACUGAUGACCAUGGGCUUGUGCCAGGACGAAAACUGCAGUUUGGAAGUGAUCAGUGGACAAUAUUCAGAUAUUGGGGUUGACAGAUGAAGGCUCCUGCUAACCGCUCCUCCUGCCACUGAACUCAAUGGCAAAGUGCAGCUCAGACAUUUGCUCAUGAAUUCUGUGCUACUAAAUGAAGCAGGGAAAAUGGACAACCCUGCUGGUAGCUUGUGAGCCCUUGUCACAGAACAGAGCUUGAACAAUUUUGAUUAAAGCAGUAUGUUCGAGACUGUCAUUAGACCUGCAUUAAAUUACAUAUCUGGAAUGUUAAAAAUAAAGACUACUGAAGCUUAUUCACAGCUGCCUGUGGUAAAGGCUCUUGAUAAUGAAGCACGAGUGUUGACCAGCCCUCCGUCUGCAGCCUGCUCUUCUUGUCUAGUAGAGCUGUCCCAAGAAGACCAGGGCAGGAGGUUGUUUUUUUGGAAAAGGACUUCGACCUUCAGCUGAAUCAGGUGGAGUGAAAAUAAAAAGGUUUUUUUUGCAAGUGCCAGAAGAUGGUGAGACACCCGGAGACCAGUUCCUCUCCCACCUAUUUCUGUCAGGCGUGUGCUACUUGUGGAAAGGGGCGCUCUCAUGGUGUCCAUCUCACCUGGAUGACCAUUUCCUAAUGCCUUGUGGACGCAGGAGAAAGUCAGACAACCCUCAGUGUAUCCUUGCGGCUCCCAGGGACAAGCACAUCUCUAAAAUGUGCCACCUCGGUGGCAGCGAGGCGUUGCUGUCAGACGUGAGGAUGAACGACCAUCAUACGUCAGGUUUUAUUGUUGUCACCAGCCACUUCUGAACAACCAGCAUCGUACCAAAACAGACUCUGAAGAGGUUUGAAGAGGUCCAGUAAAAGCUUCUGAAAAGGUUUGGGACAAAUGUUAUUUUAACUGAUCUGCAGCGGGCUCAGAGAAGUGUAUUUUGGAUUAGCUGAGGAAGACUAUGGAGGAAUUGCUUCUUUGGAAGAUGCAAGAAAGAAGUUUUACAAUGUUGAGAAAUGAAGCAUGCAGAAUUUACAUAUGGAACUGGAAAACCAGGUGACAAAAAAGCAAUGUGCUUGGCACAAAGGAUCGGGACCAAAAGCCCUUCAAGGUCAGGAGCUUUACUGCCUUGACUUCAGUGAGCUUUGCUGUUUGCUUCCAUACCUUAUCAGGCAGAUAGAAGAUCGGAAUUGUGCAAAAAAGAAGAGGGGGAAACAAAACAAACAAGCCCCACAACCCUUAUUUUGCAAGGUGACGAGUCGGGGUUCGGGAGCCUGUGGAGGCAAACGAAGGCGUCCUGCUGCUCUCUGAGUAAUUACCGGUGAGAGACACCAGCCAGGAGGACUUCCCUGGCCCGGUUUGGAUGAAGCCAUCCGAGAGGAGUAUCCCUGUAGCAGAUGUGUCGAUGCCUUUUGCGGCGCAGCACGGUCGCGGCACCCCGAGGACGCCCCUUCAGCCAAGAUCGUCAUCCAGCAGUAGUUCAGCACAGUCCUACCAGUUAUCACCGUACUUACCAUCAGAGCUGCAGCAGAUGAUUCCCGCAGCUUCGCACACCGUAUGCCUAAGGUCAGUCCUAACAACAAAUGCAUUUUAUUUGCUGCCUUUGGCCCUUCAGAACUGUUUCCUCAUAUGUGAGUAUAGCUGAUGCUGCCGUGCCGCUUGAAUGGCGAGAGUUUGAGAACAGAAAGCAAUGCAGAAGUGUGGCUGUAUUUUGGUUUUAGUUAAUGUGAGUGUUUGUAUUUCUUCCGCUAUUAGCAGAUAGUCCUAAGUGUCUGCUCGGAGGGAGUGAGCUUGCUGCUGGUUUCUAGAGUUCUGUUUUCAGAAGUUCUGACUCUGGAAGACAUUGUUGAACGUAGGUCUGUAACUGAGGAGUGUAAAUCUGGAAAAUAUGGAAACAAAAAUCUAUGGAAAUUUUUUUCUUAAGACUGCUGAGCGGUUUUCAUGUCCCUACAUAUGAAUGCUUUGCAAAAAUAGUGACUUUGUUCAGAAAACUCUAGCAAUAUUGCCUGAUUUCCUGGUAGAAACAACCACAGGCCUGUGUGUGCACAGAAGUACAAGCACACACAUCUUAACAGCAUCAUCUUCAUUGAACAGACCUUGGGUUUUAGAGAAAGGAUAAUGAGUGAAAAAAUGAGACAAAUAAAGCACUUGGGGUAGAAUACAGAAGUGUUUGGAACCUGAGCAUUAAAGGUAUAUUUUAAACAAUUUACGCAUUAUUUCUAAGGCAAAAAUCCAACUGAAUUAACAUAGAUCCUAUUACCGCUGUUUAAAUCACAUUUGCUGUGGUGUUUCUGCGUCAUGUGGUUCUGAGUCCAGCAGGUAUGGAAGAGGAUGGGCCAGGAAUUCAUGCUCAAGAGUGACAUUUGAAGAACGUUUCUCAUUUGCAGAUGUUCUCUGAGAAGCAGAAAUUGGGAACGCUGCCUUUGUCUGGCUCUGGGUAAAAUGCUAGAACUUUUUUCCAGGGGGAAAAAGGAAUCAAGGAGUUGAACUUUGUUUCCAGCCUUACUAAACCAGGCCUCGACUAAGAAAACUACAAAUAAGUUGAUCAUAAAUGAACAGUCAUCCCCGUAGUGAGCGUGAACGCGCAUAGCUGGCCAAGGCAGGCAGAAGCAGAUUGAUUAAACAACAAAGUUCACCUUGUUUUCUGAGUUGAAAGCUCAUGCUGUUUCUUGGCAGAACAGGCAUGUCAGGCCUGUAAUAACCACUUGCUACCUUGCUUCAAUCAGCGUUAAAACUAGCACAGUAUUAACAUCUGGGGGAAAAUCCAUCUGGAAACUGCUUUCUGGGGGGAAAAAUGAAACGGAGGUAACUGAAUACCACACCCAGUGUUCAUGUAUUUAUGGAUUCCAUAGUAACUUCAAAUUUCUCCCUCCCUUCACCUGAAAAUUUUGUAUUUAUUUAUUUCAAACAUUUUGUGUUAAAAAGCAGCACUGAACACUCGUUCAGAAGAUGGAGCAGAGAGCAGCGGUUCUUCAGCUGCAGGUAAAUCUUCGGCCUGGUGGGGGUUUGUGUUUGCUGUUUGGUUUCAGUGUAGAGGGGGAUCUGUGCAGGUGUCGGGGUGGAUCCGUGUGCCCACCCGGGCGAGGAGACACGAGCACGGGAGCCUCCGAGCAGCCCCACGCCCGGAUGCGGGAAAGCUGUUGCGCUUACACCGGAGCAGCUCAGCUUGGAACACGAGCUGAACUUGAAAAGGAGUGUGCGGGGAGGGGGAAAAAAAAGCACUAAUUUUUGGUGAUACUGAAACUGACUUCUUCUUGUUGAUGUGCUGGUACAAAUACAGACUUGUUAUUUUGCGGCAACUUCUGUUCAAUAAACUAACAUGGUACCUUCAGG